rnacentral:rRNA from 1 species
GACGAACGCUGGCGGCGUGCUUAACACAUGCAAGUCGAGCGAAUGGAUUAAGAGCUUGCUCUUAUGAAGUUAGCGGCGGACGGGUGAGUAACACGUGGGUAACCUGCCCAUAAGACUGGGAUAACUCCGGGAAACCGGGGCUAAUACCGGAUAACAUUUUGAACCGCAUGGUUCGAAAUUGAAAGGCGGCUUCGGCUGUCACUUAUGGAUGGACCCGCGUCGCAUUAGCUAGUUGGUGAGGUAACGGCUCACCAAGGCAACGAUGCGUAGCCGACCGGAGAGGGUGAUCGGCCACACUGGGACUGAGACACGGCCCAGACUCCUACGGGAGGCAGCAGUAGGGAAUCUUCCGCAAUGGACGAAAGUCUGACGGAGUAACGCCGCGUGAGUGAUGAAGGCUUUCGGGUCGUAAAACUCUGUUGUUAGGGAAGAACAAGUGCUAGUUGAAUAAGCUGGCACCUUGACGGUACCUAACCAGAAAGCCACGGCUAACUACGUGCCAGCCGCCGCGGUAA